UGCACCACAAUGAACAUGAUCCCUGCCUGU
rnacentral:piRNA from 1 species